rnacentral:rRNA from 1 species
UACAGAGGUCUCAAGCGUUGUUCGGAUUCAUUGGGCGUAAAGGGUGUGUAGGUGGCGCCGUAAGUCGGGUGUGAAAUUUCGGAGCUUAACUCCGAAACUGCAUUCGAUACUGCGGUGCUUGAGGACUGGAGAGGAGACUGGAAUUCACGGUGUAGCAGUGAAAUGCGUAGAGAUCGUGAGGAAGACCAGUGGCGAAGGCGGGUCUCUGGACAGUUCCUGACACUGAGGCACGAAGGCCAGGGGAGCAAACGGG